CUCCACAAAUCAAUCUAUUCCAUUGUCCUCUGGAGUACUGCGACCUCAGGCCACAAUUGUAAGGUGUAUUGGAAAGUUUGGAGCUGUAUUCAUAGCUCUGGCAAGACAGGCAGGAGAUGCUUUAAUUAAAGUAAGAGCAACAAUGGGAAAGUAUUUUGGAAAAGAGCCAGGGAGCCUGAUACAGAAGUGAGGGUGUGGCAAGAAUUAUCUAAGAAGAUUCUCCAAUCACAGGCUUGUCUUUGAAAAGUCGGCAACUUUUUCCAAAGAGCUGAUUAUUUCAUCCACAGCCCACAUCAGGAAGAGACCCCAGACCAAAUAAAUUCCCUAUACUUGCAUAAGGACAAACCCAUGAAAGGAGGAUGGGGCUCAAGGGGGAACAGAUGGGUUCUAAUUACUGCCUGAAGCUGUUUGGUAAGAUCUUUUUGACAUAGACUUUAUUAUUUUUUUUAAGUCUCUUAUCUGUGGAACCAGCUGAGUUUUUUGAAAUGUCACUUCCUCUUGGCAUCUCCAAGGAGAACUAAAGCUGAGUUUACUGACUGUCCAAACACAACUGAAGUGGAGAAUGUAGGAAAGACACUGGGUGACUUGGCCCCAAAAGACCUCUUUCAGUAACUUAGAGUCUGUUUCAGACACGUCCCCCUCUCAGUCACUGGAGUAAAAUGGACAGAAGCUGAACAGUCCGUGUAACUCCAAGCUUUGCACUUACAGUUUUGGAUGGUGUCCUAAGUCUUUCAAAAUGUCGGAUUCUCUAAAUAUUAAUUGACUUA